rnacentral:lncRNA from 1 species
CUCUCCCUGACUGACCGUGCCGGCUCUGCCAAGUCACAGUGUUCUGUGGCCUUGCUCAUCAUAGCACAGCGCCUUCAUCUGAGCACUUCUUGCUUUGUUCCUAAGGGGAAGUCCCAAGAAGUUGGGGUCAGGGUCAGGAGAGAAAAAGGGAAUGGCUCACAGUCAUUAUAGAUUCCCGGUGGUGAAUGAUGACCACAGCCCUGGGACAGACGAAGCUCCCAUCCUAAAUACAGGCGUUAAUAGGGCUGAAAUGCACUGACACCCCGAAUCUUAGAUAUUGCCCAUCCUGAGCUCAGAGGACAUUUCCAGUCAGGAGAUAUUUAAUUAUACAUGCAGUUUGCAGGUUCAAAGGGGGCUGAAACCCCAGGCUGUCCAAACUGUGAAGAGGCCUAAAGAUCGAUUAGUCCAAUCUUCUCAUUUGUACUGGAGGGAACCGAGUCUCAGGGAGGUGGAAUGACUUGCGCAACCCUGCACAGAGGUAAAACAGAACAAAGACCAGAACAAGGCUCUGGGACCAGUGCUCCUUCCUCCAGACCAGGCUCCCCAGACCAGGCUAACCUCCUUGGCCAAAGCAAGGAAAACAAGCCCUGGCCCUUAGGCUUGUGAGAUUGGAGAGAAGACCUGAAGAAAAGCAAGACUAAAGGAGAAUCUUACACUCACCUUGGGUUCAGAAGCUAUUUCUGUAAGCUGCAUCAGCUGGACUUGGACCAUAUGGCGGAGGCAGCAUCUACAUUUGAUGAUUCAAUUGACCCGGCGGAUGACUAGAUCGUUUUAAAAGCCCUUUGCGUUCUCGCAGGUCGUUUGUCUAUAUCAGAUGCAAAAGGAAGCGCUGUAGCCACCUCAAAUCGCCCUGGAAUGCUCUCUCAAAUGGGCUGGACUCCGUGAUUUGUCAAGGAAAAUUGGACAUUACCUGGUAAAGUUCUUCCUAAACCAUGGGCCCAGAUGUCUGCUUGACAAAUGUCCCUUAUGCUUGUUUCAAUUUAAAGAGUGUGGUUAAAAGACUUUGGCAUGAUUUAUUUUUUAGUUUGGCGUAUUGGUGGAGUGGAGGGAAGGGGGCAGAAAUUAUAUGGCAAUUUAAAACGUAACAGAUUUUGCUUGGCACUCUUUAGUGGGAAUGUGAAAUCAAAUACAGUAGCAAAGUCAUCUGUCAGGGGCAACUUGCUCUGAGGUCCAAGAGAAACUCCUUAAAAAUCUAUAAGUCAUUGAGGUAAGAAAUAAGUGACAUUUUCAUUCCUUCCAUUCCUCAUGUCUUAGGGAUAUAAGAUGCAAGGAAUGAGAUCUUGACUUGUAAAUCAUGGUGACCAGCUGUUAAAUCUAAGACAAGGCACUAGGUUAGCCUGUGUGUUCAGCUUGGUUCUAGUUUUCUCUCACCCCACUCUCUCUCACCUCCCAGACUUCUCAAGCCCUGUAGGCUUGUUAUACACCUUCAUUUAUCUUGGUAAGGAAGACAUAAUGGAAAAUUGUUAAGGCUUGAAGGAAUUACAAGAAAACGGUCAUCUGAAAGAUUAAACAUAGUCAUGCCUUCUUUUUUGAACUUGUGAUAAAACUUGUGACAAAUGAGGGUGGGGCGAGGGGGAAGGAAUUGAAUUAAACCAGAAAGUUUU